rfam:Alligator mississippiensis ScZkoYb_230, whole genome shotgun sequence.
ACCUGCAUUCGAAAGUGAUUGUGGUCUUGUGUGUGACCUGGUCAUUGAUAGUGCAGGAAGAGAGACUCCUGAAAGUCUUUCCCGUGUUUGGAGGGUUUGAUCCCAUCCCUCCCAAACCCUGUAGCUUUCAGACA